AAGAUCGAAUGAGGAGACUCAUCGUCAACGGAGUUGGCUUCCUUGUGGUUCGCGAUGCUUGAGACGCGGUACGAAUUUUUUUUCGUGCUCGUUGUCGAUUGCACGUGUCUGCUGUGGUAUGCUCGACGACGUCGGCGUGCACUUCUCCUCUAGUAGAACGUCGCGACCCGCUGGGUGUCGGUUUAAGGGCCGAGAUCGUCGACUGUUCUCCGUCGCGUGCGUUUUACGACGCGCGCGCGCGGUUAGCAGACGCUCGAAUCCCCGACCGGCUGCUCGGCGGUACGCACAUGGUAUCGAGCCGCACUUUCGAAUGCGUUCUAAGACUCGUCGCAAGCCUCAUGUCUCUACACCAUUUGUUGUAUAUUCCCCCGGAUGUGCGGACCAAGUGCCGUCCCUGGGGGUGGUGAGCUGUUGGUUGACGAUGUUCUCGAACUGGCUAAGAAAAAAUUGUUGAACAUAACAACAAUGACGAUACCGGUCAGCGACGCUAUUGCUUUGGGUACUUUCAGGACCCGUCUUGAAACACGGACCAAGGAGUCUAACAUGUGCGCGAGUCAUUGGGACAUUGAAACCUAAAGGCGUAUUGAAAGAGAAGAUCGGCCUUGGUCGAUCGAGGGAGGAUGGGUGACGACNACACGACGCCGANUANUUCAUUAAUUGUGUGUGUGUGUGUAUAUAUGUCACCUCGCACUCCCGGGGCGUCUCAAUGGGUCAUUGCGACUCGAGGCGCACCCAGAGCGCACACGUUGGGACCCGAAAGAUGGUGAACUAUGCCUGGUCAGGACGAAGUCAGGGGAAACCCUGAUGGAGGUCCGUAGCGAUUCUGACGUGCAAAUCNAUCGUCGGAACUGG
rnacentral:rRNA from 1 species